rnacentral:rRNA from 1 species
UACGUAGGGUCCGAGCGUUGUCCGGAGUUACUGGGCGUAAAGCGCGCGCAGGCGGCGGUGCUGGCCCGGCGUGAAAGCCCCCGGCUCAACCGGGGAGGGUCGUCGGGGACCGCACGCUUGAGGGCGGUAGGGGCUGGUGGAAUGCCUGGUGUAGUGGUGAAAUGCGUAGAGAUCAGGCGGAACACCUGGGGCGAAGGCGGCCAGCUGGGCCGUCCCUGACGCUGAGGCGCGAAAGCUAGGGGAGCGAACAGG